AACAUCGCGCACCUGCGGGAACCUGCGGAGGGAUCAUUACAGAGUCGCAAAACUCCCUAAACCAUUGUGAACGUUACCUAAACCGUUGCUUCGGCGGGCGGCCCGGGUCCUUCCCGGCGCCCCUCGGCCCUCGCGGGCGCCCGCCGGAGGUAAACCAAACUAUUGCAUUGUAUGGCCUCUCUGAGUCUUCUGUACUGAAUAAGUCAAAACUUUUAACAAUGGAUCUCAGAUCGGAAGAGC
rnacentral:misc_RNA from 1 species